rnacentral:rRNA from 1 species
AUUGAACGCUGGCGGCAUGCCUAACACAUGCAAGUCGAACGAGUGGCGGACGGGUGAGUAAUGUCUGGGAAACUGCCUGAUGGAGGGGGAUAACUACUGGAACCGGUAGCUAAUACCGCAUACCAUCAGAUGUGCCCAGAUGGGAUUAGCUAGGUGGUGGGGUAACGGCGCACCAGGGCGACGAUCCCUAGCUGGUCUGAGAGGAUGACCAGCCACACUGGACAUGAGACACGGUCCAGACUCCUACGGGAGGCAGCAGUGGGGAAUAUUGCACAAUGGGCGCAAGCCUGACGCAGCCAUGCCGCGUGUAUGAAGAAGGUUUUCGGGUUGUAAAGUACUUUCAGCGGGGAGGCGUUACCCGCAGAAGAAGCACCGGCUAACUCCGUGCCAGCAGCCGCGGUAAUUC